AGGAAUAAAAGAGGUUAACAGAUUGCUGAACACUAGCCAUGACACAGAUAAUUAAAAAGCCUACUACAAACCUAAAUAAAUUCGAAACAAUGGCACAAAGGGAUAAACCAUAAAAAUGAAAGACAUCAAGGACAAAGGAUGGACUAGAAACCUUAAGUCCGUCCAGAGCGCUUCCUCGUAUACGGCAAGCCGAUCGGAGGGCGGGUUAUCUAUACGUUCGUUUAUCCUAGGAAGCACGAGAUCAAAAUUUAGAGGGAUUCCAUGCCAAACUCGUAUCCGGCUCAAAUCGUCUGAAUUUAGUACCAAACUAUAGCCGUUGGACCCAACCUCGCUCUGAUUGGCCAUUUCUGGACCAAAGGGCUAGAAAGCUAUCUAAAGAAAGAAAGGAGAAAUGGGAAGAUAGAUAAGUGAGAAAGAAAACCCACCUGAGAGCGAGAAAAGGAGGUAGAAGGAAUGAAGUAGUCACCAAAACCUUCAAAAGCCCCUCUGAAGAAUAGCACCAUGAAUGAAAGAGGAGAGCUUCUUGUUCCGAGAAGCUACAGUAAUAAAAAAGAGAAAAGAAGAAUAGAAGAGCCUAACAACA
rnacentral:lncRNA from 1 species